GCGACAGUAGCUCAGACCUAGAGCGCCGGUCUUGUAAGCCGGAUGCCGGGGGUGAAAACCCCCCCUGGCGCA
rnacentral:tRNA from 1 species